GUUUGAUCCUGGCUCAGAUUGAACGCUGGCGGCAUGCCUUACACAUGCAUUUUCGAACGGCAGCACGGGAGCAAUCCUGGUGGCGAGUGGCGAACGGGUGAGUAAUAUAUCGGAACGUGCCCAGUCGUGGGGGAUAACGCAGCGAAAGCUGUGCUAAUACCGCAUACGAUCUACGGAUGAAAGCGGGGGAUCGCAAGACCUCGCGCGAUUGGAGCGGCCGAUAUCAGAUUAGCUAGUUGGUGGGGUAAAAGCCCACCAAGGCGACGAUCUGUAGCUGGUCUGAGAGGACGACCAGCCACACUGGAACUGAGACACGGUCCAGACUCCUACGGGAGGCAGCAGUGGGGAAUUUUGGACAAUGGGCGCAAGCCUGAUCCAGCAAUGCCGCGUGCAGGAUGAAGGCCUUCGGGUUGUAAACUGCUUUUGUACGGAGCGAAACGGCUUCCCUUAAUACGGGGAGCUAAUGACGGUACCGUAAGAAUAAGCACCGGCUAACUACGUGCCAGCAGCCGCGGUAAUACGUAGGGUGCGAGCGUUAAUCGGAAUUACUGGGCGUAAAGCGUGCGCAGGCGGUUAUAUAAGACAGAUGUGAAAUCCCCGGGCUCAACCCUGGGACCCUGCAUUUGUGACUGUAUAGCUAGAGUACGGUAGAGGGGGAUGGAAUUCUCGCGUGUAGCAGUGAAAUGCGUAGAUAUGCGGAGGAACACCGAUGGCGAAGGCAUCCCCCUGGACCUGUACUGACGCUCAUGCACCAAAGCGUGGGGAGCAAACCGGAUUAGAUACCCUGGUAGUCCACGCUCCAAACCAUGUCAUUGGUUGUUGGGUCUUCCCUGACUCNUAACGAAGCUAACGCGUG
rnacentral:rRNA from 1 species